GCUCACGACGAACGCUGGCGUCGUGCAUAAUGCAUGCAAGUCGAACGCACUCGACCUUCGGGUCAUAUGGGUGAGUGGCGAACGGGUGAGUAACACGUGAGGAACCCACCCCGGAGUUCGGAAUAACUCAGGGAAACUUGAGCUAAUACCGAAUGCCUUCUCAACAUAGAAUGGUGAGGAGAAGAAAGAUUCAUCGCUCCGGGACGGCCUCGCGACCUAUCAGCUUGUUGGUGAGGUAACGGCUCACCAAGGCAGUGACGGGUAACUAGUCUGAGAGGACAAAUAGCCACACUGGGACUGAGACACGGCCCAGACUCCUACGGGAGGCAGCAGCAGGGAAUCUUGCACAAUGGGCGAAAGCCUGAUGCAGCGACGCCGCGUGGGGGAUGAAGGCCUUAGGGUCGUGAACCCCUUUCAGCAGGGAGGAAGAUGACGGUACCUGCAGAAGAAGCCCCGGCCAACUACGUGCCAGCAGCCGCGGUAAGACGUAGGGGGCGAGCGUUGUCCGGAUUUAUUGGGCGUAAAGAGCUCGUAGGCGGUUGCGUAAGUCGGAUGUGAAAACUCAGGGCUCAACCCUGAGACGCCAUCCGAUACUGCGCUGACUUGAAUCCAGUAGGGGAGUGUGGAAUUCCUGGUGUAGCGGUGAAAUGCGCAGAUAUCAGGAGGAACACCCAUGGCGAAGGCAGCACUCUGGGCUGGUAUUGACGCUGAGGAGCGAAAGCAUGGGUAGCGAACAGGAUUAGAUACCCUGGUAGUCCAUGCCGUAAACGGUGGGCACUAGGUGUGGGGACUUUCAACGGUUUCCGUGCCGAAGCUAACGCAUUAAGUGCCCCGCCUGGGGAGUACGGGCGCAAGGCUAAAACUCAAAG
rnacentral:rRNA from 1 species